CGCACGGGUGAGUAACACGUGACUAACCUACCCUCGAGUGGGGAAUAACCUAAGAGAAAUCUGGGCUAAUACCGCAUAACACUUACGAGUCAAAGCAGCAAUGCGCUUGAGGAGGGGGUCGCGGCAGAUUAGCUAGUUGGCGGGGUAAUGGCCCACCAAGGCAAUGAUCUGUAUCCGGCCUGAGAGGGCGCACGGACACACUGGAACUGAAACACGGUCCAG
rnacentral:rRNA from 1 species